rnacentral:misc_RNA from 1 species
GUGGAAAGAUAGUCAGCAGUUGCUAAAAAAUCUUGUUGGCCAUGUCGGCUAAACGAGUCUUCUUCGUCCUUUACUAGUACGCCAAACCCUUCCAACCGUCGCGCAACCUGAAGAUACAGAUGUCUCCCCAAGAUAUUGACCUGAAUCCUCACAUACAAGCAAAGCAUAGUCAUCGACCACAUCGACGCAGCCACUCUCGUAAAACUUAGAAUUUUAAGUCUUUCCCACAACUCAAGUUUCUCUUUCGAUGUGAG